AACGAACGCUGGCGGCGUGGAUAAGACAUGCAAGUCGAACGAUCACUAUUGGGUAGCAAUAUUCGGUAGUGGGAGUGGCGCAAGGGUGCGUAACACGUGGGUAAUUUGCCGUAAAGUCUGGGAUAACUUGCUGAAAGGCGAGCUAAUACCGGAUGUGAUUGCUGGAGGGCAUCCUCUGGCACUUAAAGGUCGGGGACCGUAAGGCCUGACACUUUUCGAUAGGCCCGCGGCCAUCAGCUAGUUGGUGAGGUAACGCUCACC
rnacentral:rRNA from 1 species